AGUGGCGCACGGGUGAGUAGACUUAGGUAACGUACCCUUUCGCUGGGGAUACCUGGGAGAGAGUCCGGCUAAUACCGAAUGAACCACGAGAAACUGCGGUUUCUUUUGGUAAAGCCUUCGGGCGCGAAAUGAUCGGCCUGAGCCCCAUUAGCUUGUUGGUGAUGUAAAAGCUCACCAAUGCGACGAUUGGUAGCUGGUUUGAGAGGAUGAUCAGCCACACUGGUACUGGAACACUGAGCAGACUCGGGCUGNAUGCAUCUGCUAUGAAUGUUGCGCGGUGGUGGAAACCCUNACUCAGCAACGCCGCGUGAGUGAUGAACGUCUUAGGAUCGUAAAGCUCUUUUAGUAUGGAAGAAUACAUGACUGUACCUACGGAAAAAGCACCGGCUAACUCCGUGCCAGCAGCCGCGGUAAUACGGAUGGUGCGAUCGUUAUUCGGAUUCAUUGGGCGUAAAGAGCGCGUACGCUGUUUGGAAAGUCUGCUGUGAAAGCCCACGACUUAAUCGUGGAAUUGCAGUGUAUACUACCAGACUAGAGUAUACGAAAGGAGAACGGAAUUCCUGGU
rnacentral:rRNA from 1 species